rnacentral:rRNA from 1 species
UACCGGUACUAAUAGCUCGAUCGGCUUGAUCGUUCUCAUUGACAAUGCUCAUCAAAAUGAGCCUGACCCUUACCGGUCAAGACGUGUUCAAAAAAACGAAGUGAAAACUUCUCCAGCUUCUCAAAUCGUUGCGCUUCGCUGACCUGGUGGUUAUGGCGGGGUGGCUGCACCCGUUCCCUUUCCGAACACGGCCGUGAAACGCCCCAGCGCCUAUGGUACUUCGUCUCAAGACGCGGGAGAGUCGGUCGCCGCCAGGU